rnacentral:rRNA from 1 species
UACGUAGGUGGCAAGCGUUGUCCGGAUUUACUGGGCGUAAAGAGCGCGCAGGCGGUCGUUCAAGUCGCGUGUGAAAGCCCCCGGCUCAACUGGGGAGGGUCACGCGAUACUGAUCGACUCGAAGGCAGGAGAGGGUAGUGGAAUUCCCGGUGUAGUGGUGAAAUGCGUAGAUAUCGGGAGGAACACCAGUGGCGAAGGCGACUACCUGGCCGGUACUGACACUGAGGAGCGAAAGCGUGGGUAGCAAACAGG